UGGUUUUUAGAUAAUUCUGCUUCUCCCAUCCUCUGAAUCUCUGCAAUGCCCAGCCUGACUCAGAGUACCACUGGAAGGGCUUGCCUGUUUUUAACAUUUGAGUCGUCUGUCAAAGAGGUAAAACAGGUUAGAAACAGGUGCCACUCAGAUGAUGAAUACAAGCUGCCAGCCUUUGAAACAGCAGGACCUGUGGAAACGAGAAGCCAUGUAGAAAUUCUUCCAAUACAGACAGAGAGGUGGAGAGACAGACAGGCAGACAGACAAAGCAAGCAAGCAAGGAAAAACUGAUGCGGACAAGACAAUUCAAACAGGAGCUAACAUCGUUGGACUGAGCAAGUAAUUUUAUGCGUAAAUAAAGACAAUCUUCCAUAAAAGACAAUGAAUCCACAAAAGCUACAUAAA